GGACGAUGACGACUUCUGUGAUAGGUCUCGUUCGUCGUAAUGGCUGAUAAGCCUUGCCGACCAUUCUGAUAUAUCACCACCCAUAUUCUGAGUCC